rnacentral:rRNA from 1 species
GAGAAGAAAUCAACCGAGAUUCCGGUAGUAGCGGCGAGCGAACCUGGAUUAGCCCUUAAGCACUCGGUGAAGUAGGUGAACAAGCUGGAAAGCUUGGCGAUACAGGGUGAUAGCCCCGUAACCGACGCUUCAUCGAGCGUGAAAUCGAGUAGGGCGGGACACGUGAUAUCCUGUCUGAAUAUGGGGGGACCAUCCUCCAAGGCUAAAUACUCCUGACUGACCGAUAGUGAACCAGUACCGUGAGGGAAAGGCGAAAAGAACCCCUGUGAGGGGAGUGAAAUAGAACCUGAAACCGUGUACGUACAAGCAGUAGGAGCACCUUCGUGGUGUGACUGCGUACCUUUUGUAUAAUGGGUCAGCGACUUAUAUUCAGUGGCAAGGUUAACCGUAUAGGGGAGCCGUAGCGAAAGCGAGUCUUAACUGGGCGCUCAGUCUCUGGAUAUAGACCCGAAACCGGGUGAUCUAGCCAUGGGCAGGUUGAAGGUUGAGUAACAUCAACUGGAGGACCGAACCGACUAAUGUUGAAAAAUUAGCGGAUGACUUGUGGCUAGGGGUGAAAGGCCAAUCAAACUCGGAGAUAGCUGGUUCUCCCCGAAAGCUAUUUAGGUAGCGCCUCGGACGAAUACUACUGGGGGUAGAGCACUGUUAAGGCUAGGGGGUCAUCCCGACUUACCAACCCUUUGCAAACUCCGAAUACCAGUAAGUACUAUCCGGGAGACACACGGCGGGUGCUAACGUCCGUCGUGGAGAGGGAAACAACCCAGACCGCCAGCUAAGGUCCCAAAGUAUUGCUAAGUGGGAAACGAUGUGGGAAGGCUCAGACAGCUAGGAUGUUGGCUUAGAAGCAGCCAUCAUUUAAAGAAAGCGUAAUAGCUCACUAGUCGAGUCGGCCUGCGCGGAAGAUGUAACGGGGCUAAGCAAUACACCGAAGCUGCGGCAAUGUCUUUUAGACAUUGGGUAGGGGAGCGUUCUGUAAGCCGUUGAAGGUGAAUCGUAAGGUUUGCUGGAGGUAUCAGAAGUGCGAAUGCUGACAUGAGUAACGACAAAGGGGGUGAAAAACCUCCUCGCCGGAAGACCAAGGGUUCCUGUCCAACGUUAAUCGGGGCAGGGUGAGUCGACCCCUAAGGUGAGGCCGAAAGGCGUAAUCGAUGGGAAACGGGUUAAUAUUCCCGUACUUCUGACUAUUGCGAUGGGGGGACGGAGAAGGCUAGGUGGGCCAGGCGACGGUUGUCCUGGUUCAAGUGCGUAGGCUUGAGAGUUAGGUAAAUCCGGCUCUCUCUAAG